rnacentral:rRNA from 1 species
UACGGAGGGUGCAAACGUUGCUCGGAAUCAUUGGGCGUAAAGCGCACGUAGGCGGCCUGUUAAGUCGGAUGUGAAAGCCCCGGGCUCAACCCGGGAAGUGCAUUCGAAACUGACAGGCUUGAAUAUGGAAGAGGGUCGCGGAAUUCCCGGUGUAGAGGUGAAAUUCGUAGAUAUCGGGGGGAACACCAGUGGCGAAGGCGGCGACCUGGGCCAAUAUUGACGCUGAGGUGCGAAAGCGUGGGGAGCAAACAGG